GUGGGGAAUAUUGCACAAUGGGGGAAACCCUGAUGCAGCGACGCCGCGUGAGUGAAGAAGUAUUUCGGUACGUAAAGCUCUAUCAGCAAGGAAGAAAAUGACGGUACUUGACUAAGAAGCCCCGGCUAACUACGUGCCAGCAGCCGCGGUAAUACGUAGGGGGCAAGUGUUAUCCGGAUUUACUGGGUGUAAAGGGAGCGUAGACGGUAUGGUAAGUCAGAUGUGAAAGCCCGGGGCUCAACCCCGGGACUGCAUUUGAAACUAUCAGACUAGAGUGCAGGAGAGGUAAGUGGAAUUCCUAGUGUAGCGGUGAAAUGCGUAGAUAUUAGGAGGAACACCAGUGGCGAAGGCGGCUUACUGGACUGUAACUGACGUUGAGGCUCGAAAGCGUGGGGAGCAAACAGGAUUAGAUACCCUUGUAGUCC
rnacentral:rRNA from 1 species